rnacentral:rRNA from 1 species
GAUGAACGCUGGCGGCGUGCCUAAUACAUGCAAGUCGAGCGAACAGACGAGGAGCUUGCUCCUCUGACGUUAGCGGCGGACGGGUGAGUAACACGUGGAUAACCUACCUAUAAGACUGGGAUAACUUCGGGAAACCGGAGCUAAUACCGGAUAAUAUAUUGAACCGCAUGGUUCAAUAGUGAAAGACGGUUUUGCUGUCACUUAUAGAUGGAUCCGCGCCGCAUUAGCUAGUUGGUAAGGUAACGGCUUACCAAGGCAACGAUGCGUAGCCGACCUGAGAGGGGGGUCGGCCACACUGGAACUGAGACACGGUCCAGACUCCUACGGGGGGCAGCAGUAGGGAAUCUUCCGCAAUGGGCGAAAGCCUGACGGAGCAACGCCGCGUGAGUGAUGAAGGUCUUCGGAUCGUAAAACUCUGUUAUUAGGGAAGAACAAAUGUGUAAGUAACUAUGCACGUCUUGACGGUACCUAAUCAGAAAGCCACGGCUAACUACGUG